rnacentral:rRNA from 1 species
CCUACGGGAGGCAGCAGUGGGGGAUAUUGCACAAUGGGGGAAACCCUGAUGCAGCGACGCCGCGUGUGGGAAGACGGUCCUCUGGAUUGUAAACCACUGUCCCCAGGGACGAAGAUGACGGUACCUGGGGCGGACGCUCCGGCUAACUACGUGCCAGCAGCCGCGGUAAUACGUAGGGAGCGAGCGGUGUCCGGAAUUACUGGGUGUAAAGGGAGCGUAGGCGGGACUGCAAGUUGGGUGUCAAAUCUACCGGCUCAACCGGUAGCCGCACUCAAAACUGCAGUUCUUGAGUGAAGUAGAGGCAGGCGGAAUUCCUAGUGUAGCGGUGAAAUGCGUAGAUAUUAGGAGGAACACCAGUGGCGAAGGCGGCCUGCUGGGCUUUUACUGACGCUGAGGCUCGAAAGUGUGGGGAGCAAACAGGAUUAGAUACCCCUGUAGUC